GAUGAACGCUAGCUACAGGCUUAACACAUGCAAGUCGAGGGGAAACGGCAUUGAGUGCUUGCACUCUUUGGACGUCGACCGGCGCACGGGUGAGUAACGCGUAUCCAACCUUCCCAUUACUGUGGAAUAACCUGCCGAAAGGCAGACUAAUACCGCAUGGUCUUCGUUGACGGCAUCAGAUAUGAAGUAAAGAUUUAUCGGUAAUGGAUGGGGAUGCGUCUGAUUAGUUUGUUGGCGGGGUAACGGCCCACCAAGGCGACGAUCAGUAGGGGUUCUGAGAGGAAGGUCCCCCACAUUGGAACUGAGACACGGUCCAAACUCCUACGGGAGGCAGCAGUGAGGAAUAUUGGUCAAUGGACGUAAGUCUGAACCAGCCAAGUAGCGUGCAGGAUGACGGCCCUAUGGGUUGUAAACUGCUUUUGUAUGGGGAUAAAGUCAGUCACGUGUGAUUGUUUGCAGGUACCAUACGAAUAAGGACCGGCUAAUUCCGUGCCAGCAGCCGCGGUAAUACGGGAGGUCCAGGCGUUAUCCGGAUUUAUUGGGUUUAAAGGGAGCGUAGGCCGGAGAUUAAGUGUGUUGUGAAAUGUAGACGCUCAACGUCUGACUUGCAGCGCAUACUGGUUUCCUUGAGUACGCACAACGUUGGCGGAAUUCGUCGUGUAGCGGUGAAAUGCUUAGAUAUGACGAAGAACUCCGAUUGCGAAGGCAGCUGACGGGAGCGCAACUGACGCUUAAGCUCGAAGGUGCGGGUAUCAAACAGG
rnacentral:rRNA from 1 species